rnacentral:rRNA from 1 species
GGGUGCGAUCAUACCAGCACUAAUGCACCGGAUCCCAUCUGAACUUCGAAGUGAAGCGUGCUAGGGCGAGAGUAGUACUAGGAUGGGUGACCUCCUGGGAAGUCCUCGUGUUGCACCCU